GGGGAUAUAGCUCAGUGGCAGUGCACCUGCCUUGCAAGCACAAGGUCCUGAGUUCAAUCCCCAGUACCA
rfam:Heterocephalus glaber contig174098, whole genome shotgun sequence.